rnacentral:rRNA from 1 species
UGCCAGCCGCUGCGGUAAUACGGAGGGUGCAAGCGUUAAUCGGAAUUACUGGGCGUAAAGCGCGCGUAGGCGGCUUUGUAAGUCGGAUGUGAAAGCCCAGGGCUUAACCUUGGAAUUGCAUUCGAUACUGCAGAGCUAGAGUAUGGUAGAGGGAAGUGGAAUUCCGGGUGUAGCGGUGAAAUGCGUAGAGAUCCGGAGGAACAUCAGUGGCGAAGGCGCCAUCCUGGGCUAAGACUGACACUGAGGUACGAAAGCGUGGGGAGCAAACAGGAUUAGAUA